rnacentral:rRNA from 1 species
UACGAAGGGGGCUAGCGUUGCUCGGAAUCACUGGGCGUAAAGGGCGUGUAGGCGGUUCUGUAAGUGGGGUGUGAAAUCCGAUGGCUCAACCAUCGAGCUGCGCUCCAUACUGCAGGACUUGAGUACAGCAGAGGAAAGUGGAAUUCCCGGUGUAGCGGUGAAAUGCGUAGAGAUCGGAAAGAACACCAACGGCGAAAGCACUCUGCUGGGCCGACACUGACACUGAGAGACGAAAGCUAGGGGAGCGAAUGGG